rnacentral:lncRNA from 10 species
GCUAGAAUGCACUGUCUUUGAAGCAUUGAGCAGGCCCUCACCAGACACCAAAUCUGCUGGUUCCUGGAUCUUGGACUUCCCAGCCUCAUAACUAGGCAUCACAAAUCUCCGAGAGGAACGCAUCCACUUCCUGGCCUGGUAGAGCGGAGAGCAGAGGUGGGCCCAGGAGUCCAAGAACUUCCCCUAAGGCUGCUAGUCGCACCCAUCUCUUGAGCAGAGACCCAAGAGGGCAGGACAGGAAGAAUGGAAGUGAGAUUUGGCCCCGGUCAUGUUUUCCAAAGUGCUGACAUCAGGAAAAUAAUAGAAGUUAACGCAGAUAUGGGGCUGCCACUGAGGAGAGAGAAGACUGAAAGAAGCAUAUAGAUAAAAGUUUCAGUUACCUGAGGUCAACCUUGGUCUGAAAUUAGAUUAUCUGAGUAGGCUGAACCAUCGGUGAAAAGGAGGCCAAGCAUCUCAAAAAUAGGACACGUGAGAGUAUGGAGCCAAUGUGACACUCAGGUGAGUUAGCCUUAUGAUCCCUAAGCAUGCAGUCCUUGGACCAGAUGCAUCAGGAUCUUCUGGUAAGUGUGCUAAAAUAUAGGCUACUGAGACCCACCCUAUGUCUGUCAAAUCAGAAUAUUCUAAGGAAGCAGGUCCCAGGGAAUAUAUAUUUUAAAGCUCCCUAAAUACACUUCAUGGGCUGCCAGAUUUGGGAAUCGCAGGAUUAGGUAGCUACCUAAAUGAAGACACUUAAAUGUGCCAAAAGCUUCUCUUUCACCCAUCCAUUUAUCCAUCUAUUCACCCAUCCAUCAACCAAACAUGUGCCAGUAUCUGGUAUUUGCUUCAUGACCUGCUACUGCUGUGGUGGGUGCAAAGAUAAAUGAUCAAUGUUCUCAAAGAGUCAAUAGUCUAAGAGAAUGGAUGAAUGAAGUAUAAAUAAUAAAAGAUGUGCUAUGAAGUACGAUAGGGGUCCAGAAAAGUAUAUACUUAUUCCAGAUUGUGGCAGAAGACUCUGGAGAGGUUUCGUUUUAUAUAAUGGCAUGAAUUCCCCUUCAGAUCCAUCUCUAAAUCAAGCUUCACCUACUUCUGACUGUUUGUGUUAGAUACCAAUCCUAUGGAUUUCUAUAGUUUUCUGGAAUUACUUUUUACACACUACAGUAGAGUUAUGUGGCUGCUUCCAUGUUUUACUUAGAAGCUGAGAGCUUGAUAAAAGUGAAGGCUGCAUCUUAAUCAUCACCUUUUCCCCCACCUCCUAGCUAGGGUCUGGCUCUGCCUAAGCAGCUGCCAUUGGUGCUCAAUAAACAUUGAAGAAGUUGGGUUGUUGCACUGGUUAUGCAAAGAAAGGGACACAGUGGGUGUAAGCGUGGGGCGGGGAGCAAAGCUGGGACCAAUCAUGGAACACCUAGAAUUUGAAUCAAAUUUGGGCUUUAGUUUUUAGGCAAUGAGCCUAAGACAAUUUUGGAAGCAUCCUUUGUUCACAAAAAAGUUAGAAAUGGUGAGAACUAGGGCAGUCUAUCACAAAGUGUGGGAGAGGUAAUUUUAUAUGUAAACUAUUAUAAAUCACAUUUGAGUUAUGAAGUGAGACAAUUAUUCCCUUUGCAGUUUCAUUUCAUUCUGUCUAAUUAUUUCAGGGAGACAUUCUGAAUUGGGUGCUAGUAUUUUAACACUUCUCUAACACUUUCUCUUUUUAAAUUUUGUUUAUUUUUAAUUGACAAAUAAUAAUUGUGUAUAUUUAUGGGGUACAUUGGGCAUGGAGGGUGGGUUAUUCUGUGAUGUCUUGACCUGUGUGUACAUUGUAACACUUCUCUAAUACUUUCUAAUCCAGCCAUCCCCAACCUUUUUGGCACCAGGAACCAGUUUUGUGGAAGACGAUUUUUCCACAGAUGGUUGGGGGAUGAUUUUGGGAUGGAACUAUUCCACCUCAGAUCAUCAGGCAUUAGAUUCUCAUAAGAAGCAUGCAACGUAGAUCCCUCACAUAUACAGUUCACAAUAGGGUUCAUGGUUCUAUGAGAAUCUAAUGCUGCCACUGAUCUAACAGGAGGCAGAGCUCAGCUGAUAAUGCUUUUUCACCUGCUACUGACUUCCUGCUGUGUUGCCCAGUUCCUAACAGGCCAUAGACUGGUACCAGUCCAUAGCCUGGGGCUUGAGGACCCCUGCUCUAUGAUGUCUAUACAACAAUAAAAUUGCCUAAUGAUACAUUUCUCAGAAUGUAUACCCAUCAUUAAGUGACACAUGGCUGCUUGUGUAUUUUUAUAUAUAGCUAAAUGUGGCUAGAUUAGAUGUGAUAUCUCUUUGGAUGCAGGGAUAGGUGGGCAAGUUUCUAAAACACGAAACUAACUGUGUCUUUUCUCUGCUUAAGAACCUUCCAUGACUCCCUGUUGUUCAUAACCGGAUAAAUUCUAAGCUGCCUAACUCAGAAUUCUAGCUUAGAGAUGUCUACGCCUGGCUGCUCCCAACAGUUAGUCUCAUGUCCUGUCUCAAACAUGGGGCUUCAGUAAGAAUGAAAUUUCCAAGGAGAAUUUUAUAUUCUGCAUGCCUUUAAAGGCUCAAGCCUGGAGACCCCCCUUCUUGCCUCUCUUACCCUUUUCACCAGGGCACCCUCUAUUCAUCCUUCCAGAGCCUUCUCUGGGAAGUCCUUUCCCAAAGCCCACUUCCCAGCCUAAGCUUAGUGCUAUUUCUGUAGAUACCCAGAAACACAUCAACUAUAUGUACAGUUUACCCUAGUAUGUCAAAGUUAUAGUUACUGCCUUAGGAGGGAUUUUGAGCUUUUCAUCUUUAUUACUCGGGCUUCUGCUACUGUGUCAAGCAGGUAGUUGACACUCAACAAAUGUUUGUUUAGCCUAACUCAGCAGAACACAUGGAGUGUGUUCACAUGGAGUAACCUGAUUUUGCUUAGUCUGCAACAUUUCUUGCAUGCAUCCCCUGCUUGCAGUCUCAAUUACAGUCAUCCUGUUUCAGUUUUCUUAACUUGUCACUCCCUUCCUCUGAUAACUUUUGCCAUACCUCUGUAUAACAUGGCCUACUUUUUGAAAAAGAUUUUUUUACAUUCACCUACAUUUGUCUCAAAUUUUUUUUUAAAAGAAACUUUGUAUUACUACCGUCAUUGAAAACCUUCAUCACUUGGCACAAAAGAAAGUUUAAAAAAUACAACAAAAGACAUUCUACUAAAUUCUGGCUAGACAACCUUGCCUGCUCUAGUAGAUGCACUGAGACCAUUAAUGAAUCUUUCAUCCCACCUUGUGUCAUAUUCUUUGCCACAUGACUUUGGGUCUCCCUCACUACUAGGCAAGUUCCUGUCUCCAUCUCUUGAUUCUGAAUUCAGCCAUAAUACUUGCUCUCCCCAAUGUUGUUUUAGCAGAUUUGACACAUACAGAAGCGUGAAAAACUCUUGUGUGACUGGGAUAGCUCCUCUGCAAUGAGAACAUGCCUGGGAUAAUGUACUGAAAAGAUGUGAGAAAUACAUGAAGCAGAGUCCAGUCAUCCCAGCCAAGAACCAGCUGUGAAUGUAACCGCAUGACUUUGAGGCAAGUCCAGACCAAGAACAAAGAACCACUGGUCUUAAAGACAGACCUGCAGAUUCCUGAGCUAAAUAAAAGUUUAUUGUUGAAAGGC